AAUCCCGUGAACCAUCGAGUCUUUGAACGCAAGUUGCGCCCGAAGCCUUCGGGCCGAGGGCACGCCUGCCUGGGCGUCACGCAUCGCGUCGCCCCCUCCCCGCCCGCUCCNAGGAGCGGGGGGGGGGCGGAAAAUGGCCUCCCGUGGGCUCCCGUCCCGCGGCCGGGCC
rnacentral:rRNA from 1 species